GACGAACGCUGGCGGCGUGCCUAGUACAUGCAAGUAGAACGCACAGUUUAUACCGUAGCUUGCUACACCAUAGACUGUGAGUUGCGAACGGGUGAGUAACGCGUAGGUAACCUGCCUGGUAGCGGGGGAUAACUAUUGGAAACGAUAGCUAAUACCGCAUAAUAUUGAUUAUUGCAUGAUAAUUGAUUGAAAGAUGCUAUUGCAUCACUACCAGAUGGACCUGCGUUGUAUUAGCUAGUAGGUGAGGUAACGGCUCACCUAGGCGACGAUACAUAGCCGACCUGAGAGGGUGAUCGGCCACACUGGGACUGAGACACGGCCCAGACUCCUACGGGAGGCAGCAGUAGGGAAUCUUCGGCAAUGGACGAAAGUCUGACCGAGCAACGCCGCGUGAGUGAAGAAGGUUUUCGGAUCGUAAAGCUCUGUUGUAAGAGAAGAACGGGUGUGAGAGUGGAAAGUUCACACUGUGACGGUAUCUUACGAGAAAGGGACGGCUAACUACGUG
rnacentral:rRNA from 1 species